rnacentral:rRNA from 1 species
UACGGAGGGUGCGAGCGUUGUCCGGAAUCACUGGGCGUAAAGGGCGCGUAGGCGGCCUGAUAAGUAGGGGGUGAAAUCCUGCGGCUUAACCGCAGGGCUGCCUUCUAAACUGUCGGGCUAGAGCACGGUAGAGGCAGAUGGAAUUCCCGGUGUAGCGGUGGAAUGCGUAGAGAUCGGGAAGAACACCAGUGGCGAAGGCGGUCUGCUGGGCCGUUGCUGACGCUGAGGCGCGACAGCGUGGGGAGCAAACAGG